rnacentral:rRNA from 1 species
UACGUAGGGUGCAAGCGUUGUCCGGAAUUAUUGGGCGUAAAGAGCUCGUAGGCGGUUUGUCGCGUCGGCCGUGAAAUCUCCACGCUUAACGUGGAGCGUGCGGUCGAUACGGGCAGACUUGAGUUCGGUAGGGGAGACUGGAAUUCCUGGUGUAGCGGUGGAAUGCGCAGAUAUCAGGAAGAACACCGGUGGCGAAGGCGGCUCUCUGGGCCUUACCUGACGCUGAGGAGCGAAAGCGUGGGUAGCAAACAGG